AUGGCUACUAAGGUGAAGCCAGGAUGCAAGUGCCAUCCCACAUGGAAGAGGUGUGCAGGCAGGAAAGGAAGGAGAGAAGAGGAAAAGCGGCUGCUUCAGGGUACAGAAGGCCUCUUCCAGGAGUCAGCUUUCUGCUCCCUCCCAGUUCUGCCAAAGUCAUCACUUCUUGUAGGCUCUGCAGAGCACCACUGCUGUGGAAUAUCCAGCCUUGGGUGUUUGAGUCACCAACAUAAUUUAACAUUAAUUAACAACCAACAUAAUUUAAAAUUAAUGUAGUAGCCUUAUUAUUAUUCUUUUAUUGUCAGACUCAGAAAUAAGCUUCAGUAGUGUUUAGAUUUCUUUUUCAGUUUAAAGGGAUGACAUGUUAAUUUUUAUUUCCUCUGAUGAAGAAAUACUAAGAAAAAACAAGCAGAUAAAAUGAAGCAAGUAUUUGUGCGGGUAUGAGGAAAUAUCUAGGUUAGAUAUAGGUCAGAAAUAUCUUAAAAUCAGCACUUUAAAUCCAGGGAAAUCUGAAUUUAGGUUUUACUACAAGCAAAUAUGUUAAGAUGAAUACACACAACUUUUCUUCUGGCUUAUACUGCCAUCACAAGUGGGGGAUGCUGGGGGAGAAAGAAUGCAAAUGCCAAUCUCGAGACUUUAAAAGUCUAAUUUAAUACUGUGAGCAAUGCCUAAGUCACAGUUAUACAUGGAUCAUAACCCAUAAAAUUAUUAUGGGGUGAGUGCAUCACUGCUCCAAACUGCUAUCAAAGAGUGAUUAUAGGAUUCUGUCAAACUAGAGGGCAUAUCAAGGAGGAGCCCAUGAGUCUCUCCUCUUGACCCAGUAAUAGGCAAUACCAGCAUUAAAAGUUAAGAUGAUGGACAAUAAUCUUCAAAAAUCUACAGAUGACACCAAAGGGGAAAACAACAGAAAAUGCUUUUUAAAGUGUCCAACUCAAAGUGAUUUUGAUAACUUGGAGAAAUAGCCCCAAACCACUGAGGUGAUAUUUCAUAAAGUUUAUUACCAAAGUAGUGUAUUUAAAAAGAAUGACAGAAAUUAAAAAUAGAGGACAAACUGCAUGCUGCAGGAAGGGUGGAAGGGGUGAGUGUUUAUUGUGGACUAGAGACUAAAGACAAGUUGAGUAACAUAAUGUAUAUGCAGAAAUUGGAAACUCAUUUUAUAUUCUCAACAUUAGUCAUCUCUCAGAAGGAAUACUGACAUCCAACUGCUCAGAGAAAAGCCAGACAAAUUCACAAAGAAUAAUGUUUGUAAGAAAAUACAAAGAACAAAAGCUUUAAA
rnacentral:lncRNA from 1 species